rnacentral:rRNA from 1 species
AUUGAACGCUGGCGGCAGGCCUAACACAUGCAAGUCGAGCGGAUGAAGGGAGCUUGCUCCUGGAUUCAGCGGCGGACGGGUGAGUAAUGCCUAGGAAUCUGCCUGGUAGUGGGGGAUAACGUCCGGACACGGGCGCUAAUACCGCAUACGUCCUGAGGGAGAAAGUGGGGGAUCUUCGGACCUCACGCUAUCAGAUGAGCCUAGGUCGGAUUAGCUAGUUGGUGGGGUAAAGGCCUACCAAGGCGACGAUCCGUAACUGGUCUGAGAGGAUGAUCAGUCACACUGGAACUGAGACACGGUCCAGACUCCUACGGGAGGCAGCAGUGGGGAAUAUUGGACAAUGGGCGAAAGCCUGAUCCAGCCAUGCCGCGUGUGUGAAGAAGGUCUUCGGAUUGUAAAGCACUUUAAGUUGGGAGGAAGGGAAGUAAGUUUAUACCUUGCUGUUUUGACGUUACCAACAGAAUAAGCACCGGCUAACUUCGUG